GCUGAAGUUGCCAAGCCUGGUCAAAGGCGAGGGACUCAAGAUCCCUUCUCGUAGGAGUUCGCCGGUUCGAAUCCGGUCUUCAGCACCA
rnacentral:tRNA from 3 species